rnacentral:rRNA from 1 species
UGGUUUGUCGCGUUGUUCGUGAAAUCUCACGGCUUAACUGUGAGCGUGCGGGCGAUACGGGCAGACUUGAGUACUGCAGGGGAGACUGGAAUUCCUGGUGUAGCGGUGGAAUGCGCAGAUAUCAGGAGGAACACCGGUGGCGAAGGCGGGUCUCUGGGCAGUAACUGACGCUGAGGAGCGAAAGCGUGGGGAGCGAACGGGAUUAGAUACCCUGGUAGUCCACGCCGUAAACGGUGGGUACUAGGUGUGGGUUUCCUUCCUUGGGAUCCGUGCCGUAGCUAACGCAUUAAGUACCCCGCCUGGGGAGUACGGCCGCAAGGCUAAAACUCAAAGAAAUUGACGGGGGCCCGCACAAGCGGCGGAGCAUGUGGAUUAAUUCGAUGCAACGCGAAGAACCUUACCUGGGUUUGACAUGCACAGGACGCCGGCAGAGAUGUCGGUUCCCCUGUGGCCUGUGUGCAGGUGGUGCAUGGCUGUCGUCAGCUCGUGUCGUGAGAUGUUGGGUUAAGUCCCGCAACGAGCGCAACCCUUGUCUCAUGUUGCCAGCGGGUAAUGCCGGGGACUCGUGAGAGACUGCCGGGGUCAACUCGGAGGAAGGUGGGGAUGACGUCAAGUCAUCAUGCCCCUUAUGUCCAGGGCUUCACACAUGCUACAAUGGCCGGUACAAAGGGCUGCGAUGCCGCGAGGUUAAGCGAAUCCUUUUAAAGCCGGUCUCAGUUCGGAUCGGGGUCUGCAACUCGACCCCGUGAAGUCGGAGUC